CCUACGGGUGGCAGCAGUGGGGAAUAUUGCACAAUGGGGGAAACCCUGAUGCAGCGACGCCGCGUGAGUGAAGAAGUAAUUCGGUAUGUAAAGCUCUAUCAGCAGGGAAGAAAAUGCCGGUACCUGAGUAAUAAGCCCCGGCUAACUACGUGCCAGCAGCCGCGGUAAUACGUAGGGGGCAAGCGUUAUCCGGAUUUACUGGGUGUAAAGGGAGCGUAGGCGGGAGUGCAAGUCUGGAGUGAAAGGCGGGGGCUCAACCCCCGGACUGCUCUGGAAACUGUACGGCUGGAGUGCAGGAGAGGUAAGUGGAAUGCCUAGUGUAGCGGUGAAAUGCGUAGAUAUUAGGAGGAACACCAGUGGCGAAGGCGGCUUACUGGACUGUAACUGACGUUGAGGCUCGAAAGCGUGGGGAGCAAACAGGAUUAGAUACCCCAGUAGUC
rnacentral:rRNA from 1 species